AAGAUCCGCUACUUUGGCGUCCCCAGGAUGUCCUCGGACCACAAGUCCCGCCCCUGGCGUGCACUGGACAUUCGGAUAUCCCGCGGACGUCGGUUCGACGUAGUGAAAAGCGGAACGGAAACUCCCUGUCCAUUUGGCGCUGCUAUGAACUGGCCUCCUGCCCCAAGCAGACCAGCUCCUCCAAGGCCCCCGUUGAAACCACCGCCCAGGGCGGCUGCCAGAUUCGCUGCUUGACCGGGCCCCAAGACAGCGCCCUGACCACCGAGGCCUCCUCCUCCAGCUCCUAGGUACUGUGGCACUCCGCCACCGCCACCGACUCCCGCAGAAGUCGUUUCCAGGAGCGCGCAGAGGGCGACGAAAAGCACCUGUACGACAAAUCAACAGAACCCGUGUGACUUCGCUCAAGUUAUGGCCUGUUCGUUUAGGGUACUUCCUGCAACUCGGGUACUUACGCAAGCUCGGGAUGGCUGCCUACGAGUAACGUCAUGAAGUGCCUUUAUUGCUGGUGAGGAGGAGGAGGAGGAAUAAACUUUAUUUGUGCACAGCAGACUUGAGACCUAGGCCUCUACCUAAAUGACGGCCUCGAGCCCUUGUGCCCUGGCUGCAUCUUCGGCCUGCUGGAUUGCCUUGAGUUGGUCUUCCGGUGCACAGCUGAGCAACGCGGUCUCCCACUGCUCUCUGGUCUUAAUUAUUUUAUUCUGUAUGGGUGUAUGAGGACAAGCCCAAACCGUAUGUUGUAGGUCCGCCCUUUCUUCACAGAAUCUACAUCUAUCCGUGUAAAGGUCCGGGUAGUAGCGGUGGUAGGCCACCGGGUUCGGAUAUGUAUCUGUUUGUAAGAGGCGCCAUGCCGUCGCUUGCCGUCUAUUUAACGAGGAGUGUGCCGGGGGGAAAUGGACCCUUCCCAAUUUAUAGUGUUUGGUGAUCUUGUUAAAGCUGGU